rnacentral:rRNA from 1 species
GGACGGGUGAGUAAUGCAUAGGAAUCUGCCCGGUAGUGGGGGAUAACUUGAGGAAACUCAAGCUAAUACCGCAUACGCCCCAAGGGGGAAAGCAGGGGAUCUUCGGACCUUGCGCUAUCGGAUGAGCCUAUGUCGGAUUAGCUAGUUGGUGAGGUAAUGGCUCACCAAGGCCGCGAUCCGUAGCUGGUCUGAGAGGAUGAUCAGCCACAUCG